rnacentral:rRNA from 1 species
CCUACGGGUGGCAGCAGUGAGGAAUAUUGGUCAAUGGCCGUAACCCUGAACCAGCCAAGCAGCGUGAGGGAAGACUGCCCUCUGGGUUGUAAGCCCUUUUUACGCGGGGAUAAAGGUGUCUACGUGUGGAUGUAUGCAGGUACAGCAUGAAUCAGGACCGGCUAAUUCCGUGCGAGCAGCCGCGGUUAUACGGAGGGUCCGGGCGUUAUCCGGAUGUAUGCGGUUAAAAGGGCGCGCAGGCAGGUCUCUAGGCGUGCCGUGAAAGUUUGUGGCGCAACCACGGGAGUGCGGCGGGAACUGGGUAGCUGGAGUGCAGGGAGGGCAGGCGGAAUUCGUGGUGUAGCGGUGAAAUGCGUAGAGAUCACGAAGAACCCUGAUUGCGAAGGCGACCUGCCGCAGCGUUACUGACGCUGAAGCUCGAAAGCGCGGGGAGCGAACAGGAUUAGAUACCCGAGUAGUC